rnacentral:rRNA from 1 species
UACGUAGGGGGCAAGGCGUUGUCCGGAUUUAUUGGGCGUAAAGAGCGUGUAGGCGGCUUGGUAGGUCCGCUGUGAAAACUCGAGGCUCAACCUCGAGAUGUCGGCGGAAACCACUUGGCUAGAGUCCGGAAGAGGAGAGUGGAAUUCCCGGUGUAGCGGUGAAAUGCGCAGAUAUCGGGAAGAACACCUAUGGCGAAGGCAGCUCUCUGGGACGGUACUGACGCUGAGACGCGAAAGCGUGGGGAGCGAACAGG